rnacentral:rRNA from 1 species
AGAGUUUGAUCCUGGCUCAGGAUGAACGCUAGCUACAGGCUUAACACAUGCAAGUCGAGGGGAAACGAUAUUGAAAGCUUGCUUUCUUUAGGCGUCGACCGGCGAAUGGGUGAGUAACGCGUAUCCAACCUGCCCCUGAGUAAGGGAUAGCCCAUCGAAAGAUGGAUUAAUACCUUAUGGUUUCCUUUGAAGGCAUCUGAUUAGGAAUAAAGAUUUAUCGCUGAGGGAUGGGGAUGCGUCUGAUUAGCUUGUUGGCGGGGUAACGGCCCACCAAGGCAACGAUCAGUAGGGGUUCUGAGAGGAAGGUCCCCCACAUUGGUACUGAGACACGGACCAAACUCCUACGGGAGGCAGCAGUGAGGAAUAUUGGUCAAUGGGCGCAAGCCUGAACCAGCCAAGUAGCGUGCAGGAACACUGCCCUAUGGGUUGUAAACUGCUUUUAUACGGGGGAUAAAGUCAGAGUCGUGACUCUGUUUUGCAGGUACCGUAUGAAUUAAGGACCGGCUAAUUCCGUUGCCAGCAGCCGCGGUAAUUACGGAAAGGUCCAGGCGUUAUCCCGGAUUUUAUUGGGUUUAAAGGGAGCGU